AACGUAGGACGCAAGCGUUAUCCGGAGUUACUGGGCGUAAAGCGCGGGCAGGCGGCCCGUAAGGUCUGAUGUGAAAGCGCCCGGCUCAACCGGGCGAGGCCAUUGGAAACUAGCGGGCUGGAGGGCAGUAGAGGUCGGCGGAAUUCCGGGUGGAGUGGUGAAAUGCGUAGAGAUCCGGAGGAACACCGGUGGCGAAGGCGGCAUCCUGGACCGGUAUUGACGCUGAGGCGCGAAAGCCAGGGGAGCAAACGGGG
rnacentral:rRNA from 1 species